AGAUUCCUAUUUACUUGCCGUUAGUUAAUUGAAUGUAACGCUAUAAUAUUUAGCUAAAGCUCACAACGUUAAGGCAGGUUAGAACAUGGUUACUUACAACAUACGGGGUUUGUGCCAACGGCAAAGCCGUUGGCAUACUCUUUUGAAAUCAAGCUACAACUCUAGGCAUGCCGGUGUGGUGCACUUAAUUAUAAACUAAUAGCUUUUACGUAGUACAAACUUACACUCACGGAGCUUCGCUCCUGUUUUGAUAAAUAGUAACAGAAUUUUUACAAAAAUUAACCGGUCGCUGGAUGCCGAAGGCAAAACUUCAUGAACGAGGGCCGAAGCCCAAUUUUAGUGACUACAAUGAAUAUAUGUGAAGGUUUUUUGGCCCCAACUUAUCUUGUAACGGUCGCUUGUGCUACAAACCCGUAGUCCUACUUUUUUACUCGAACUUCACAGUGUGAGCUCUGUAAGUUUUUUUAUAUAGUUUAACGAUAUUAAACUUUUUUAGAGCAACCUUGGCUUCACCUUCCUCACAACGCAUUCCCCGAAGAAGACGCGCUGUGUGGUACUUCGUUCCAAUAGUAUACCUACGUUGUUUUAAGGCUACAGCCUGUUAUCUAAUAAAAGCGUUUGAAAAACAAGGCUUGCUUUGUUUCCAACCUUAGCUAGGUAAUGCGACAACUUGACAUAACUAGGCGUAAAGCACUCAUAGAGCGUCUUAUGUAUCAAUUUCCAUAGGGCCUACACGUCCGUUUUAGAACUUGUGUUAAAGACCCUGAAGUAGUCGGAGGUUUACAAAUAGUCCCGGNCAUAAGAAGCCUAUGGCUUACUGCACAGCAAAUAAACCCCCCCAGGUCCUUUUGUUUGUGGAGAGGAGCGUGUUGUAGACCCAGCAUAAAAAGUUUCGGUACUUUUGUUUUUUAUGCUUCGUGUUAAUAAUCCAGAGUAAGACAAUUCAUUCGUUACUUAACCAGUAGUUGUUAACAACUAGCACUAAAGUAGCACGGUGCUGUAGCACACUUCUGGCUGAAGCUAUGUUGUGGAAACUGGCUUAAGGCCGGGAAACGAAAUAUCGAAGGAAACUCCCAACGGAGUUUAUAACGUAGCUUUUUUUUGCGAAACAGCUGCUCGUUAAGAGUUGGGACUUCGGCUGGAUGAUUUAAUAAUAACUACAACCUAGGCCUCUACUUCGUAGGUCCUAAGGGUUCUUACAACAGCUUUAGUUCAAGACACGGUUUAUUUUUUAAACUCUGUCAGGGCGCAGCCUAAAGCUAGCAUCCCCCUAAUAAAGUUCACUUAUGUUCGUUAAAAUUCACAUAAAAUAUAACAAGUAUACAACUUAUGAGUUCGCUUAGUGACUUUUUAUUUUAUUUUAUUUUAUUUUAUUUUAUUUUAUUUUAUUUUAUUUUAUUUUAUUUUAUUUUAUUUUAUUUUAUUUUAUUUUAUUUUAUUUUAU
rnacentral:lncRNA from 1 species